CAUGUACUCCCUCCGUUCGGAAUUACUUGUCACAAAAAUGGAUGUAUCUACAACUAAAAUACAUCUAGAUACAUUCAUUUCUUGGACGAGUAAUUCCGAACAGAGGGAGUAUUUU
rnacentral:pre_miRNA from 1 species